rnacentral:lncRNA from 1 species
CUUUGUGCCCCUUAGGAUUGCAAAAUAAUCUGGAAAUGCAAUACAUCCCCGGUCAGGACGACACAAGAUUCCUACAGGAUGUGAACAAGCCAACACCAGAGUCUCAGAGGAAUGAAAGGAAUUUGUUCUGGCCAGUAUCAGAACCUACAGGAACUGCAGAAAAGACCUGUAAACGGAUCAAAGCCUACGAGCUAAGCUAGACAACCCCACAGAACACGAAACCAGACAAGACCAGCCAGCCAGAUAGGUCAGGAGACACAAGCCAUGGGACAGAAGUCUUUACCACAAGAGACCUCUAUUCACUGAACCCUCCCAAAGAUGGAAAAAGACGUGCAGAGAGCAUACAUAUUGCCUGUGACUCAACACUCAAGAUUUAUGAAGAGCCCUGCAAACCUGUAAAAAAACCCAACUAACACACAGGAAAGUCUCACAGAAAAGGAAGGGUAACUGGCCAAAAUGUACAUGAUGGUCACUACACGGAAGACAAGAAGCCAUGACAGGGUUUGCUUAGCAAACUGGCCACCCUGGCUUCAGAGCACAGGGACAGGCACAGCAGCUUCCAUAGGACUCCCACUGGCUCCACGAGGCACCGCCCCAACAGUGAGAAAUGGGAAUCGUCCACAGGCAAAUGGAGGAAACCGCUAACUCUUUGCAAAGCACACUGCAGGGACCGAGACAGCACAAACACAACUCAUGGACCAACAAGCCUGUUCUCAGCAAACCAGAAAAACCCGAGGCCGCCCAAAGUGAGGACAUGCCACAGCAUGCCGUGCACACACUGCUGGAGCAGAAGCGUCUGUCUCUGGUGUGCUGCAUGGGUAUGGGCACAUGCACGGGUCUGUGUUCGCGUACACCUGUGCACAGCAGGUACAGGGUUAUGCACAGAGGGCACAGUCUGGCAUGAGCACAGCCUAUAGCUAUCUUCACUGUCACGACAGCUGCCCCGACCACACAGCAUAGGGUCCAAAGCCAGGACAGCGGGGGAGAUGACAAAAAAUUGGAAAAUAAUAAGAAAGAAGGCGGGCCGGGGAUUUAGUUCAGUGGUGCUAC